ensembl:ncRNA asRNA:CR45927 antisense RNA:CR45927
GAGACAUCGGAACGCACAGGUAUUUGCAGAUGGCAUUCAAGCUUUGAGGGCUGCUCCGCCAGUUGUUUAACCACCACAUUGACCACCUUGUCCUCAUCGGUUACCUUCACAUCGAGAGAGACAUUCGAGUUCUUGACAUGGCCGCCAACCAGUUGGGCGAUAAACACAUCCCCGCUGGUAUACUGAUGCACAUCCGCGGGCUGGAUGCGCAGGAAAACAUCGGACUUCACGUUGAUCCUGGCAAAGGGGUUUACAUAAUGCAGGAUCUCCUGAUGGACCAUCCGCAUGCUCACGGCCAUGGCUGGUUUGAUGUGGGCUCGCGACUUGUUCGCGUAUUGGCGUAGAUGGUUGUUUAAAUGUGUCAACCACACGCGUUGCAGAAGCAUUAUAAAUCCAAUAAAGAAAUGGAAUUUA